rnacentral:tRNA from 1 species
GCAAGUCUGGUCGACGCACUCGACCUCAGCUUCCCAAGCUGAAUACGCGGGUUCGAUUCCCGUCAUCGGCU